UACGUAGGGGGCUAGCGUUGUCCGGAAUCAUUGGGCGUAAAGCGCGCGUAGGCGGCCCGGUAAGUCCGUUGUGAAAGUCAAAGGCUCAACCUUUGAAAGCCGAUGGAUACUGCCGGGCUGGAGUCCGGAAGAGGCGAGUGGAAUUCCUGGUGUAGCGGUGGAAUGCGCAGAUAUCAGGAGGAACACCGGUGGCGAAGGCGGGUCUCUGGGCCGAUAUUGACGCUGGAGGAGCGAAAGCGUGGGGAGCGAACAGG
rnacentral:rRNA from 1 species